rnacentral:rRNA from 1 species
CAGCCGCCACGGUAAUACGAAGGGGGCUAGCGUUGUUCGGAUUUACUGGGCGUAAAGGGCGCGUAGGCGGACUGAUAAGUCAGGGGUGAAAUCCCAAGGCUCAACCUUGGAACUGCCUUUGAUACUGUUUGUCUUGAGUUCGAGAGAGGUAAGUGGAACUGCGAGUGUAGAGGUGAAAUUCGUAGAUAUUCGGAAGAACACCAGUGGCGAAGGCGACUCGCUGGACAAGUAUUGACGCUGAGGUGCGAAAGCGUGGGGAGCAAACGGGAUUAGAUACCCGCGUAGUCCCUGUCUCUUAUAC